GUCAGUGUAUGCAUCUGUGGGUUAGUAUGCCUAUCAGUGUAUGUGUCUGUGGGUUAGUAUGUCUGUCAGUAUAUGUGUCUGUGUGUGUCACUAUGUCUGUCAGUGUAUGUGUCUGUCUGUGUGUGUGUGUCAGUAUGUCUGUCUGUGUGUGUCACUAUGUCUGUCAGUGUAUGUGUCUGUCUGUGUGUGUCAGUAUGUCUGUCAGUGUAUGUGUA